CAACGCCGCAGGCGUGGCAUACGGCUCAGUAACACGUAGUCAACAUGCCCAAAGGACGUGGAUAACCUCGGGAAACUGAGGAUAAACCGCGAUAGGCCAAGGUUUCUGGAAUGAGCCAUGGCCGAAACUACAUGGCCUUUGGAUUGGACUGCGGCCGAUCAGGCUGUUGGUGAGGUAAUGGUCCACCAAACCUGUAACCGGUACGGGCUUUGAGAGAAGGAGCCCGGAGAUGGGCACUGAGACAAGGGCCCAGG
rnacentral:rRNA from 1 species